rnacentral:misc_RNA from 1 species
AAGUCGUAACAAGGUUUCCGUAGGUGAACCUGCGGAAGGAUCAUUAACACGUAUCCAACGUUAAAACCCCUGUGAACUUUCAGCCUGCUCUUGUGGCCCGAAUCAAAACUGUUCCUCCCACUUGAUUUACCGGAAUUGCUGCUUCACACGGAACCUCUGCUCCAUAUGCGCACGCUGCAAUUGAGCGGUAGAAGCAGUGGCAUGGCGUCCCCAAGCCUCCAGUGAAUGAAAGUGUCACUGGAAAGUGUAAGGAUAACGCUUCUCGGUUGCUAGAGGUCGAUCACCGACCGGCAGACAUGCCACAGGGUCACCGCGCCCCUAAUCACUCCCUCUGAACCGUACGCCGGCGCCGUUGAAAAGCUGCGCUAAAAAAAACCGAACAACUGUUAACAAUGGAUAUCUUGGUUCUC